rnacentral:tRNA from 1 species
GGGGGUGUAGCUCAGCUGGGAGAGCGCCUGCCUUGCACGCAGGAGGCCAUCGGUUCGCCCGUUCACCUCCACCA